rnacentral:rRNA from 1 species
GAUGAACGCUGGCGGCGUGCCUAAUACAUGCAAGUCGAGCGAACAGACGAGGAGCUUGCUCCUCUGACGUUAGCGGUGGACGGGUGAGUAACACGUGGAUAACCUACCUAUAAGACUGGGAUAACUUCGGGAAACCGGAGCUAAUACCGGAUAAUAUAUUGAACCGCAUGGUUCAAUAGUGAAAGACGGUUUUGCUGUCACUUAUAGAUGUAUCCGCGCCGCAUUAGCUAGUUGGUAAGGUAACGGCUUACCAAGGCGACGAUGCGUAGCCGACCUGAGAGGGUGAUCGGCCACACUGGAACUGAGACACGGUCCAGACUCCUACGGGAGGCAGCAGUAGGGAAUCUUCCGCAAUGGGCGAAAGCCUGACGGAGCAACGCCGCGUGAGUGAUGAAGGUCUUCGGAUCGUAAAACUCUGUUAUUAGGGAAGAACAAAUGUGUAAGUAACUAUGCACGUCUUGACGGUACCUAAUCAGAAAGCCACGGCUAACUACGUG